CAACCCCUAGAGUUAGAAAUAGAACAUUCCACAAGCUGAUUGGUCAGGUGUGCGUCAGACGACAAUCUUGUCAGCAGCCAGAGAAGACAAAAAUUGCCCGCGCCAAUUUGACUGCAAUAUCAUAUAGUGAAGCCGUUUUGUCCAUAAAUGUCUCAAACAAACCCACGUAUUUGGUGUACAAAAUACUGACAAGCUCGUGGGCUUUCCAGUUUGCGCUUUUUUUUCUAGGGAAGCGAGCAAUUUGCUAAACAGAAGCACCUUUCGAAUGCAUUCUGAGUUCAUCUAAGUUGUCAGCAGCUAGACAUGAAGAGGAUUGUCUUCACAAGCGUACUCUAAGGACUUCUAGGGGAAGCUCUCACUACGGCCAGCCUUAACAAGCCGGAAGAAUCGUAUUGUGUUUGCGAAAUGAAGGUGUCAGUCCUGUGGGCUUGAGAGAAGAACCAGUGCCGUACUGACAGCGCCAGGACUGCAGGCACGGUGGCAUGUUUCCUCUACACACACGCAAACAUCAGGGUCAGUGGCCUGGCUCGUCUAGCCUCUACCAGGCUCCCAACGUCGCUGGGAAAAUACUAGUAGUAGAAAUUGGCCAAAUAGACAGAAACACACCAGAGGAGUCGGUUGGCCGAAGAGUACAGUUUGCGACCUACAGUUUUUUU